rnacentral:rRNA from 1 species
AAAGAAAGCGUAAUAGCUCACUGGUCGAGUCGGCCUGCGCGGAAGAUGUAACGGGGCUAAACCAUGCACCGAAGCUGCGGCAGCGACGCUGAUGCGUUGUUGGGUAGGGGAGCGUUCUGUAAGCCUGUGAAGGUGUACUGUGAGGUAUGCUGGAGGUAUCAGAAGUGCGAAUGCUGACAUAAGUAACGAUAAAGCGGGUGAAAAGCCCGCUCGCCGGAAGACCAAGGGUUCCUGUCCAACGUUAAUCGGGGCAGGGUGAGUCGACCCCUAAGG